UGAGCAAUCUGCCCUUCACAUCGGAAUAACCAUUGGAAACGAUGGCUAAUACCGAAUAUGACUUCGGAUCGCAUGAUCUGAAGUGGAAAGCUCCGGCGGUGAAGGAUGAGCUCGCGGCCUAUCAGCUUGUUGGUGAGGUAAUAGCUCACCAAGGCGACGACGGGUAGCUGGUCUGAGAGGAUGGCCAGCCACAUUGGGA
rnacentral:rRNA from 1 species